AGUCAUUGGAUCAGGGCUAUAAUAGAUUGUUAACAAUGUUAUUAGUUUUCUUCUAUGAAGGUUGUUUAUUGCAGUGUGUAAUAAUAUUAUUACCAUGUAAUUCUAGGUACAGUGUUACUAGCUGAGUAAGGAGAGCUGGGGUUGUUCAGCCAGUAAAUGCCAUAUUAUGGUGACUGGGACACAGCUCUAUAAUGUUUCCUACCCUGGGUUUGCAAUAUAUUAUGAUAUAUUAUGAUCU